rnacentral:rRNA from 1 species
CUUGGUUGAUCCUGCCAGUAGUCAUAUGCUUGUCUUAAAGAUUAAGCCAUGCAUGUGUAAGAUGACUAAUUCAGACUGUGAAAUUUUGAAUGGCUUAUUAAAUUAGUUAUAACUUGUUUGAUGGUAUCUGCUACUUGGAUAACCAUAGUAAUUCUAGAGCUAAUACAUGCAACAAACCCUAACUUCUGGAAAUGAUGCAUGUAUUAGAUAAAAGGUUGACAUAGGCUUUACCUGUUGCUCUGAUGAUUCAUGAUAACCCGAUGGAUAGCAAGGCCUUUGCACUGGUAACGCAUCAUUCAAAAUUUUACCCUAUCAACUUUCGAUGGUAGGAUAGUGGCCUACUAUGAUGGUGAUGAAUGAUGGAGAAUUAGGGUUCGAUUUUGGGGAGGAAGCUUGGGAAACAGCUACCACAUCCAAGGAAGGCAGCAGGUGCACAAAUUACCCAAUCCUAAUAUAGGGAGGUAGUGACAAUAAAUAACAAUACCAAGCUCUAUGAGUUUGGUAAUUAGAAUUAGUACAAUCUAAUUCCCUUAAUGAGGAUCCAUUAGAAGGCAAGUUUGGUGCCAGUAACUAUGGUAAUUCCAACUCCAAUAGUGUAUAUUUAAGUUGUUGUAGUUAAAAAGCUUGUAGUUGGAACUAAGGUCAGGUCGUUUGAUCUACCUCAUGUAGCAUGCCAGUCUACUCGUCCUUACUAUCGAUAAUGCACUCCUAGCCUUAACUAGUUGGGUCAUUCCUUUGACACUAUUACUUUGAAGAAAUUAGAGUGCUCAAAGUAGGCUUACGCUUGUAUACAUUAGCAUAAGAUAACAUCAUAGGAUUUUGGUCUCAUUGUGUUGGCCUCUAGGAUUAGUGUAAUGAUUAAUAGGGAUAGUCAGGGGCAUUUGUAUUUCAUAGUCAGAAGUGAAAUUCUUGGAUUUAUGAAAGAUGAACAACUAUGAAAGCAUUUGCUAAUAAUGUUUUCAUUAAUCAAGAAUGAAAGUUAGGGGCUCGAAUACGAUCAGAUACUAUCCUAGUCUCAACCAUAAAUGAUGCUGACUAGGGAUCGAUAGAUGUUACUUUUAGGAUUUUGCUAUCACUUUAUAAGAAAUCAAAGUCUUUAGUUUUCAAGGGUAGUAUGGUCAUAAGGCUAAAACUUAAAGGAAUUGAUGGAAAGGCUCCACCAGGAAUGGUGGUGCAUAAUCGUUCUUAUUUGGCGGAGUAGCUUAAUUUGACUCAACAUGGGGAAACUUACUAGGUCCAGACAUAGUAAGGAUUGAUAGACUGAGAGCUUUUUCUUGAUUCUAUGGGUGGUGGUGCAUGGCUAUUCUUAAUUGUUGGAACAAUUUGUCUAGUUAAUUCCAUUAACAAAUGAGACCUCAGCCUACUAACUAGCUACGCGGAGGUGAUAUUUCAUGGCUGGAUUUUUAGAGGGACUAUGGCUGCUUAUUCCAACUAAGUUUGAGCCAAUAGCAUGUCUGUGAUGCCAUUAGAUGUUCUUGGUCAUAUGCAUGCUGCACUGAUGUAUUCAAUGAGUCUAUAGCCUUGGCUGAUAGGCUCUUGUAAUCUUUGAAAUUUUAUGAUGAUGGGGAUAGAUCAUUGCAAUUAUUGGUCCUCAAUGAGGAAUUUCUAGUAAGCAUGAGACAUUAGCUUGUGUUGACUAUGUCCCUGCCUUUUGUACACAUCGCCAAUUACUCUUAUCAAUUGAAUGGUUCGGUGUAGUGUUUGAAUUACGGCAACAUGGAUGGUUCGUUGCCCGGGAUGUUGCAAGAAGUCCACUAAACCUUAUCAUUUAAAAGAAGGAGAAGUCGUAAUAAGUUUUUGUGGGUGAACCUAUAGAAG